rnacentral:lncRNA from 1 species
AUGUGGCUGCGGGUCCCCACAGUCCUCAGCACCGCCUCCAAGGGCCGUGCCACCUCCCGUGCCCCCUCCCCUAAAUCACGCAAGCUCUUGACCCCCUUUGACCCCCUUCCCCACAGGUGGAGACCAUCGGGGACGCCUACAUGGUGGCCUCGGGGCUGCCGAAGCGCAACGGCAACCGGCACGCGGGCGAGAUCGCCAACAUGUCGCUGGACAUCCUCAGCUCCGUCGGCACCUUCAAGAUGCGCCACAUGCCCGAGGUGCCCGUGCGCAUCCGCAUCGGCCUGCACUCGGGUAAGGCCACGCCCACUUCCGGCCACACCCAUCUUGACCACGCCCACUUCCGGCCACGCCCACGUUGGACGCACCUCCACCGUGGACACCCCCCCCCCUCUUGGCCGCGCCCCGUGGAGGUGCCGCACCCAUCGGCCAACCUCAACAUGGCCACAGACCCGUGUCAGCGCCCACUUCCGGUCACACCCACCCCGACACGCCCACUUCCGGCCAUAUGCACGUUGGCCACGCCCCCCUCCACAUCCACGCCCCAAGGAGCUGCCGCGCCAUUGGCCAACCUCAACACAGCCACGAGUCAACGGCCACGCCCACCGCGUCGUGGCCACGCCCACUUCCGGUCACGCCCACUUCCGGACACACCCACUUCCGGACACACCCACCCCAAGAAGCCGCUACGCCAUUGGCCAACCGCAACGCGGCCCCAAUCCCGUGGCCGCACCCACUCCUCCGCGGCCACGCCCGCUCGUGACCGCGCCCCCCGACGUGACCGCGCCCUCUUCGCCCCCGCAGGGCCGUGCGUGGCGGGCGUCGUGGGGCUCACCAUGCCGCGCUACUGCCUCUUCGGGGACACCGUCAACACCGCCUCGCGCAUGGAGUCCACCGGGCUGCGUGAGUCCCCCGCGCGCGCGGCCGCCAUGCGUGUCCCCGUGUGUGGCCUCCGUGUGCCCCCACGUGUGCCCUCCAUCUGCCCCCACGCGUGUCUCCNGGUGUGUGUGGGGGGGGGUGGAGAACGUGGGUGCUAUAGAAGGGGCAUCUGGGAUCUAUGAUGGGGGGAGGCCUGAGUGCUAUGGGGUGAGGGAGACGCUGAUGGGGGGGGCACCCGGUUUCUAUGGGGCAGCCUUGGUGUCCCAGGUGGGGGGGCACUGGGUCCUACAGGAAGGGGUGAGGGGAACAUGUGGGAUGUGA